UUGGUGCCCUCUCAGUCUCUGUCUGAGCCUCCUGCAACAUUUCUGGGGGCUCAUUCAGGAUUUGGAGGGUGGUGUUUUCACCUCCUUGUCACCGGCUCAACAUCCCCAGCCUGCCAGGAGGGCUGCCCCUGCCAGGCACCACCAGAUGGUGUUGAUCCAAGGAGGCGAGUUCCAGUUGCACAAAGGGACCGGGAAAGGCUCGGGAACCAACCUGGGAGCCCUACUCAUCAGACUGGACCUGCUUCCCAGGAGACACCAGGAGACCAUGGAUGAUGAGACAUCAGCCCUGCUCUAGUCACUCUGGAAGCUGACUAGUCUGUGCACAGCGGAAGCCUGAGGAGUCACCCAUCUCACCUUUAAGGAUGAGUCCAUUCUGUGUUUUCUUCUUGCUAAUCUUGGUCGGCUCUCUACCUGGGGAUCCCCAGGCUUUGGACUGUGAAUCAUGAAAUGAAUAAGUGAUGGUGACUUCCAGGAGCUUCGCAGAACCAGUCCUGAGACCACAGUUUGACCAAGACCCCUUCCUAUGCAGGCUUCUUGCCCCCUUCCUUAUGGAA